GGGCGGGGCGGUCGCUCAGCGGCGCCGGGAUCGCGGGCACCCGGCAGCGCGGCGCGUCCCGGGGCGACCGAGGGGCUCUCUGCCUGAGCGCCAACUGCGGAGCCCGGCACAGGCAUAGACGGGGCGGCAAGCAGGUCUCGCCCUAACCGCGGUGUUUUCCCACCGCUGGGCCAUAUAAGGCGACGGCGGUGCAGUUGAGGUGCCGGGAUGUUCUGAAGACCUGCUCGCUAGGCCACGCACGGAGGACGCUGGUUCCUCACGGGCCCCGCGCCCGCCUAGGGGAAAGUCCCCGGACCGCCGGCAGAGAGUGCCGGGCGCUGCCGCGCCCCCGCCUGCCCCGCAGAUCACUGUGUCACCGCCGAGACGCCCCCGGGCCGAGCGGGUGAGGGCGGGGCGGGCUCUCGUCACGGCCACAGACACGCAGGUAGUGCGCAGGCGCACCAACAGAACGGGGCUCACUCUCAGGCCAUCCCCUUUUACCGGUGGCGGCGCUGGGCUGGGCUCCCCCAGCGGGGCGGGGCCGUGCUCCGUGCAGACCUCCCACCCUGCCUCCCGGGGCAGCGCAGGUGCCCGGAGGCGGAGCAAAGCACGCGUUGGGUCACCGCUGCCUCCCCGGCAGCAGCUACUGCGCUCAGCUCUGCUCAAUCCCGGACGUGCGGGCUCCGCCGGAGGGACGCGCGCCUGUCCCUGCGUGAAAAAGCUUGCCUACCUUCCCUGUUCCGGGAAGAAGCAGGAGGCCGCAUGGAAGUAUCUUGGCACAUUCGUGUUCGCACCACGCAGAAGUAAAACAUCAAACGCCGGAGAGUAUGAGCGCGAAAGCUGACAGAGCACAGGCAGCACGCUUCUCAGCGCAGCAGUCCCUUAUGCACGGUCUGCGGUGCAGGGCUGUGAGUGCAGGGCAUGCCCCUGGUUUCCUCUGCUCUCCCGGACCCCGCAGAGGAGGCUGGUGCUACCGGGUGGCACCAGUGUCAUCUGCCCACUCUAGGCAGAUUCUCAUGCUUACGCUCCCUGAUACUACACAAGAUUGUGAGAAACUAUGGACUAGGAUAUUGUUUAUUAAGAUUUAUGUUAAGCUCAAUGUAAAGGUUAGGCAACAAAAGAUGUGAAAUCGCUUAUGCAAACAGCUACCGGACACUGCUUGAGUAAGAUAAGAUAACCACAAUUGCGAGAUAACCGCCAGACUUCCAGGAACCGACAGAAACAGGACAAACAACCCCAUAUAAGGACAUAUGAAUGAGGGGUCAACUAUGGGAUAAAGGAGGAAGACUUCUUACUUCGGCCUCAACGACCACCAGGAGGCAGAAAACGACCCCCUAACAACAACUGAAGCAUGCGCAGAGUACCUCCACUACUUCAUGAACACGGAAGUAAAGAUAUAUAAAAAGGGACUGUUUGAACUGCUCAGCACGGCAGUUGGCGGAGCGCAGACUCCCCUGUCGUCCAGCGCUGUUUUUGCUCAUAUUCUACUUGCUAUAAUUAAUAAAAUUUUAAUUGGAUUAUGA
rnacentral:lncRNA from 1 species